CUGAAAGGAACCAAACCCUUUCCCUUCUAUGCAAUUUCCCCCUGAAUAAUCAUUUGUUUAAGCCUCUUACUUGUUGCUGAAGGCCAAAGUAUCCUCAGAGAGGUUGGAUUGGGAAAGUAGCAUAAGUUGAAAGGGGCAUGCUUACAAGAUAAAAAGAAAUGGCAAUCCUGUGGUUACUUUGGGCAGAAGUUUACCAUAAAGUCACCUGGAGGACCGAGAAAAUUCCUGGAGAGGACAUACUUUAUUGCAGCGCUUCUUAAACAUCGCAUCACCUUUUUACCUGAGAAAUGUUUAUGUGUAUAAUGUAUAUAGAUGUAUAAAAUAGAUCUAAAAGCAUAUAGAUAUAUAAAAUACAUAGAAAAAUCAAACAUUACUGAUAAUAAAUCAACAUUUGCAUGGCUUUCUAAACAGGCUGAUUUUUCUUAUUAUGAAGUGCAGUUGAAGCAUUACAUACAGCAAGUCGCUUCUAGCAUUCCACCACCUGACAUCCGUCGGGAACUAACAACCUGUAAUGAAAGGACCAAAGUAUUGACAUCUCCAGCCAUCCUCUGUUUGGAUAUCAGCCUGCAUGCCAAUGCUUUAAAUCAAGAAAUACCUUCCCUAGAACCCGGAACCUCAAUCAGUGGCUGAUGCCAGAUGAGAAACUCCCCCCUGGGCACUCAGAAGACUGGGCGACUUGGAAGGUGCUGGACAGACUGCACUCUGACACCACGAGAUGCAGAGCUAACCUUAAGAAAUGGGGCUACAAAGUGGAUUCCACGACAUGCGAGUGUGGAGAAGACCAAACCACAGACCACUGAGUACAAUGCAGCCUAAGCCCUGUUACAUGCACAGUGGAGGACCUUUUCACAGUGACACCCGAGGCACUCCAAAUGGCCAGCUUCUGGUCAAAGCAAAUCUAGUAAAUUGUCAAGUUUUUAACUCUGUUUUUUUUUUAAAGAAAUACAUUAUAACCAUACCCUCAAUUCGCUUCUGACACGAUAAAUAAAUAAGCUGAAGCAUAUUCUGCAGAGCCCGCUGUAAACACAAUCUUGUUAACUGAUUUGUGUAAAUGGGUGACAUCAAGAAACUCUUUACUGUUGUUCAUUUUUGUGACCUCCAACACUGAGCUUUUGGUGUUGGGAACCACAGUUUAUUGGAUGCAGGUAGAUGAAAUCAUGGUUAUCAGUCCUGUGGAUAAAGGAGUCAUAUUGUAAUUCAAAUUUAUGCAAAUCAUUUGUGGUUGAUUUUUGUUUUUCAGUGUAACAUUGCCGUUUGUUCCAGGUUUUUACUUUUUUCUGCUAGCUGCAUUGUCUGCACAUAGGCACCUGAUUUUGUCUCACCCAGCUGCAUGAACACUCACCACAUCCGCUCUUUCCCACUCACCUCCCACCCUCCAUUUGAACAGCAUGGGAAGAAAGAGAGCUCACUUUCUGUUCUGUAUCAUAGAAACACAGCAUGCUACCUCUGCUCUGCUGUUACAAAGCAGUGACAAAGAGGACAGGGUUCUAUUGAGACAACCUGUUUUCAGGUACUCCUGGCUUCCUGUGGCAAUGUGUCUCAAUGCAGCAGGCUUCCUUCAUGCAUUGCCUAAAGGCAUGCAACACAUGGGAAGAUCUAAUACAGAACAUGCAUCCUAGAGGUUGGACCCCCCUCCCCCAAUUUACAAUGGUAUUUUACAAUCCAAAACUCUUUCCUAUUUUACUGGGCAAGGUGACAUUGUUUCCCUAGCCAAUGAUAAGAUUAUGCAACCAGAUUUUUGUUCCUGGGUUAUAGAUAUCAUUUCCUAAUUGGUUCUAUCAUAAAAACAUUGAAAAAGUUUAUUAAACUUUGUUUUUCCAAGACAUCCUGCAACACGUUUUGCUAUAAUUUCUCAAUGACUAUCUAAUUGAAUCUCAGCCACUUCAACAUAGUUUGUGGCAGCCACAAAAACAAAGUUUCUCAAGGAUAACAAUAACUUUCAAAGUAAGUACUGCACAAUUAAACAGGAAAUCAUAUUUUUGAACCAGGAACAGAAAUAUUUUUCAAAUUUUGUUACAUAGUUUAAUUCAGUGCCUUCUUUCCAAAAUUUAAGCUACAAUCCAUUUCUCGUGCGGAGUCCCUUGGGGAUAAUUUCCAUGUCCCACAAGUAUAUAGAGCUUAAUUGUGAAACUCCGUCAGGCUUCCAUUUCCCUUCUGUUAUUAGGCUCUCAUUUGAAUGGAGCAAAGGACUGUGCAUACCACUCACUAGCAUUUAACCCUCCGAGAACAUGUCGUAACCUCUUAUUUGCGGCCAUCCUGGGUAAUUGUACCAUUGCUCUGUGGAAAUUCCACUUUUUCUUCUAAGUAAAAAGGUUGUAAUUACAUUAUGAGGCGUCCUGUGAACAGGUAAUGGGAUAGCAUGCAGUGUGUGAAUAGCACAAUGUAAAAACCCUGGCCCCUGACCAAAGGAGUGAUUGGAUAUUUACGGAUACAAAUCGGCUAUAUACUUAUUUAAUGAACAGAAAGCAGCUGCUGUUUUCCUGCAGCCCAGAAGCAAACAUUAGCACAAUAAAUGGCACAUCAUUUAUGUUCUGCUCAGUUUUACAUCUCCUCUGAGUAAUUUGAAAUGCAGCCAGCCACUGCCUCCUUUCUGUUAAAACACAUUUGUAUUGCAAUUGUUGAAUAACAGCAAGAGGUCAAAUUUGCUAAAAGAAAAUGUUGAAG